rnacentral:miRNA from 1 species
GGGAGAGCCUUUCCGUGACUGU